GUGUUAUUUCCUUUUUACAGCAAGGAAACACUGUAUGGAUUUCAAUACUUCCCAUCUUUUCGCCGUAGAAAACCGCAUUGCAGCUCGCUAUUCCUCUUCUGACGAGUCCAUUUUUCAGUUCCAGCAUACAAGACUUAUGGCGUUCAAUCGCUGAAAUGAAAUCUACUUAAGGUUGUAUGGACAUUAGGUUAUUUGGAAGCAGGAACACAUGCAAAAUGUGCAAUGUCCUCGCCGGGAUUCGAACUUGGACCUCUCGAAUACGCGCCGAGUGUUACACCACGAAGGCAUAUUGGAAGGAGGGAGAAAAUACUUUAUAAGUUGAUUGACUUUUGGAUUAUAAGCACAGUUCAAGCAGAACCAGAGAUAUGGGUACAAACCUCCUUUUUAGAGAGUGACAAAAUUUGUCAAGUUGGAGAUAUUUUGCGAUUUCUAAACAACUUGCAGACAUGAUGGAAGUUUCCGAACAAAGCAUUAUCGAAACCUUAGGAAAGAUUUUUCUUUAAGCUUCUAGAAGUGCUUACCCUCCUUUUAAACCAACCCUAUAAAAAAGCGGUUGUGAGUGGCCUUCAUUCAAUCAGGGAGUUCAGUAGUAAGAGUUAGAUUGAGACUCUUAGUGUACUUAAAUUCUUGAACUUCAGAUCCGUAAAUUACUGCUUUGGAUGUGAGCGCUUUUGGUGAUAUGCGAUAUUCCUAGAAUGCUGAAGAAAAUUUCGUUUUAUCUCUGUUUUUAGCUUUGAGUUAUUUAUAGUUGUUUAUGUUUAUGUAUGUCAUUUAUC